UGCCUUUCAUGAACCCAGGCUGGCUAAGCCUGAUCCCCUGGUUGUCCUGCACAUGCUGUGUGAUCUCCCUUAAGAUAAUCUGCAAGUCGCAGAAGAAUUAGUCAGUGUUUUGAGGAAAUUGAUAGAGCUUCCUGUCAGUGCAGGGAAAGACAUGUAACUGAGGGUAGCCAGUUUUGCCAAUCCUUCCUGACUGAAAGCAUCUGGGAGCUCCAGGCUGCAGUGAAGUUUUAUGAAUUAACAAGUGAGGUGCUCAAUGCUAAGAAAAACUACGGUGGUGUCAAAAGGGCUGUCAUGGAAACUGCUUUCAACAGCAUGGCUUUAUCAGCAACCACAGCUCACAGCGGCCCUGCCAGACCAACUCCACAACCACACUGAGACAACGGCAGCCAACUGCUGAAACAAAUGGAGCAAAUCCAGCUUCGUACAGGCAUGAAAAAAGGAUUCCCCAGGAUGAUAGAAGAUACAGAAAACUUGUCAGUGUGCUCAUCUAAAUGGAUGUCAGUUAACUGCUCUUGCUAUAAGGCAGGACUCAGUUUUUGAGUCCUAUUAUCAUUGUGCAAUACCAUCAGCCCCUCAGCUCCAACCCCAGUGCAGCUGCUGAUGACUCUGGGGCUAUUCUGAGGGAAUGGAUGUUUUUAUGAUGCACUGUUCUGACUGGUGAGGCCAUUCCCCUCAUUUCACACUCAUCUAUUCCAGGUCUGUGACUCCUUUAGCAUGGCCUUUUCCUUCAGGCCAGGCUCCCACCAUAAAGGCCCAGCUGUUGCAGCUAUUCACAAUUACAGGAAAUGAACAGAACCAAAUACUGGGCUGUUAUCUUUUUUUAUGUCAUCUGAAGUCAUGUUUUUCCCUUUUGCCUGUGUGUGUGUGGAGCCAUCACAGAACACAGGAUUACACAGGGUCACUCCAUAGAAGCAGCCAAACAGAAGUGAAGCAACAAGCCUGUCCCAGAAGAGAAAGGCCCGACCCUUACUGCUAAGUGAAAGUGUCUGAUCGAAAGAGAAACAUGCGUUCAGAAGAGAAAGAAAUGACCCAUAAUGUUACUGCAGUUCUCUGUGACGAGAAGUGAAAAGGAAACCCAUGCUUCCUUUUUUUUUUGCAUUAAUUUUAACUUUUCAUUUCUUCCCUCCAGGCAUCUUCCCUCCAAGCUACAGCUCUUUCCAUUGGCAUAACGCAGACAAUACAGGACACAAAUUCCCUUAUGCUGGUCCUACACAAAUUACCAGCUGUGCUGAUUUCUUUUCCUGCUGUUAAGUCUCAGCUCCCCCUGCCACCAUACAUCCUCUUUCUUACCCAAAUGAAGCUCUACACUCUUUUGAUGGGGUGUAGAGGGAGAGAAAAUAUGGAAGAGAACUAGCAGGUCUUCAGGACAAGGACAGUAUGAAAUAGACAUGGUGAUGAGAAACAUUACUGCCUUUAUCAGGCAGUCCCUCCAGGCUUGCGUAGUUUUGGUGGCUGCUGAGAUACAGGGGCUGAGUGCAGAAUGUGACCAAUGGAAAGGAAAACAAAAGGGGCCCCAUAGCUGCUGUGCCCUAUAAACAAAGCACAGCUUUCUGAGUCCAUGUGAGAAUUUGCAUAAGAGCCCUGGAAGUACUGAGAUCUGCCAGAAGGCAAGAGCAGCGAUCAGAGAAAUGAGGAGUGUGGGAUAACAAAAUGAUAAGAGGACUUUGACUACUGAGAGUGCAAAGAAAGGUACACUGUAAAAUGAAAAAUAAUUAGUAAUUUAUUCCUAUAAAAAGAUCAAACAGACAUUUGAAUGGCAACAUUGGCAAGGGGCAGCAAACAUUUAAUAGAUAAUCAAAGUACCCUAAGGAAGUGUUUUAUUGAGCUUUGGCACUGACAGGUGCAGGAGAGGAGUUACCUGAAAAGAGCAAUGCUGCUAUGGAUAAGAACAACUGCCUCAGUUCGCUAGCGAGAGUUACGUUCUAAUGUCCCAAGAAAUAAACUGAGCACUGCCUGGGAAAAUGGGAUUUUUCGUCAUGAAGAUAGUACCGCAGAAUUGUUUUAGUAUAAAGAAAUGAGGGAUGGGGACUUUCUUUAUCCCACUGGCUUACUUAAAUAUGGUGGGAGUAAAGCGUCAAGAUACAGGUCAGAUGGAAACAUAGCCUCAGCUGACUUCCCCUAGGUUAAGAAGUUUCAAAAAGACGUGUUCUGGGCUCAGGAAAAUGAUGCAAUCUGCUCAGUGUUGUAUUUCCUCAGGGCUUGUAGGUCACAGGUUCAUGCCAUGCAUCCAGGCCAUGCCAAGAUCAAACGGUGGUAACAAAAUAGGCACAUCCUGAGGACAAGGAGGUACACCUUGUGAAAGGCUCUGAAUUUAACCUCUCACGUGAGAUGAUAUUUCCUAAAGGAUUUGUUAAGGGAUAUGAGUUUGACCACUGGAAAUCAUG